rnacentral:rRNA from 1 species
AUUGAACGCUGGCGGCAUGCUUUACACAUGCAAGUCGAACGGUAACAGGCCUUCGGGUGCUGACGAGUGGCGAACGGGUGAGUAAUGCAUCGGAUCGUGCCCAGAGGUGGGGGAUAACGCAGCGAAAGCUGUGCUAAUACCGCAUGUGAUCUGAGGAUGAAAGCGGGGGACCAGGCAGCAAUGUUUGGCCUCGCGCCUUUGGAGCGGCCGAUGUCAGAUUAGGUAGUUGGUGGGGUAAAGGCCUACCAAGCCGACGAUCUGUAGCUGGUCUGAGAGGACGACCAGCCACACUGGGACUGAGACACGGCCCAGACUCCUACGGGAGGCAGCAGUGGGGAAUUUUGGACAAUGGGCGCAAGCCUGAUCCAGCAAUGCCGCGUGCGGGAAGAAGGCCUUCGGGUUGUAAACCGCUUUUGUACGGAACGAAAAGGCUCUGGCUAAUACCUGGGGCUGAUGACGUUACCGGAAGAAUAAGCACCGGCUAACUACGUG